rnacentral:rRNA from 1 species
AGCAGCCGCGGUAAUUCCAGCUCCAAUAGCGUAUAUUAAAGUUGUUGCAGUUAAAAAGCUCGUAGUUGAAUUUCGGAAUCAAUAUAUCGGUCGUGCCUUGGUACGUACUGGUAUCAUUGGUUUCUCCUUUCUGACGAACCAUGAUGUCAUUAAUUUGGUGUUAUGGGAAGUUAGGACUGUUACUUUGAAAAAUUAGAGUGUUUAAAGCAGGCUUUAGCUUGAAUACAUUAGCAUGGAAUAAUGAAAUAGGACGUUCGAACCUAUUUUGUUGGUUUCUAGGAUCAACGUAAUGAUUAAUAGGGAUAGUUGGGGGCAUUAGUAUUCAAUUGUCAGAGGUGAAAUUCUUGGAUUUAUUGAAGACUAACUACUGCGAAAGCAUUUGCCAAGGAUGUUUCAUUAAUCAAGAACGAAAGUUAGGGGAUCGAAGACGAUCAGAUACCGUCGUAGUCUUAACCAUAAAUUAUGCCGACUAGGGAUCGGAUGAUGUUAAUUUUUUAAUGUACUCA